rnacentral:tRNA from 1 species
GCGCGAGUGGCGGAACUGGUAGACGCGCAGGACUUAGGAUCCUGUGUCCUCGGACGUGCGGGUUCGAAUCCCGCCUCGCGCA